rnacentral:tRNA from 1 species
GCUUUUAAAGGAAAAUAGACGAUCCAUUGGCCUUAGGAGCCAAAGACUCUUGGUGCAACCCCAAGUAAAAGCU